UAUAUGUAUAUGUAUGUGUGCAUGUGCGUGUGCGUAAGUGCAUGUGCAUACAUGUAUAUAUAUGUAAAACAAAUAU
rnacentral:miRNA from 1 species